rnacentral:lncRNA from 1 species
CCAAUCAUUGGUUUAUCUCCCCCUAACCACUGGUUCAUAUAAUUAUGACAAACUAUAUUAUGUGCAAAACUAAUACAUGUACUAUCGUGAGGAAUAAAUACCUGAGUUUGAUUUCCUCCCCAGCAUUCUUCUAAAAUUGUAAUUUCGCCGCCGCAACUCUGUUUUCCCUUCUUUUACUGUUCUUCCCGUUUCUUCUUUUUUUUAUAAAGACCUAGAUUACUCCUUUUUCUACACAUUAGGUCUUUGUACAUGGACCAAUACGAGAAAUAUAUGGGUUUAGCCCAUUUUUUUACCAUUAUUUAUUGUCUCAACUAUUUUUUUAUCCAACUUAAUAUUUAUAAUAGUUAAUUAGGUUCACUAACAUUUAAUAUAUUUUCAAUCUUAGUAAAACAAAUUGGUUAUUACAGGACAGUCCUCCCAUUGAUAAAAAAGAUGUUGUUGAGCCCCGUUAAUGACAAGGUCUAGUAGGUAUUCCUGCUAAACGCUUUUCAGCCUCAAUACCGACCCCUUGAACAUCCCCAAACUCCACAUAAUCCACCCUAGUAUUAUCCUCUGAACAACAUCCGGCCAUCUGUACAACCACUAGGUCACUCCCUAGGGCGAGCACCAGCAUCCCAAAAUUCUCGAGUGCCUUCACAAUAUUUUCGAGCAUCCAACAAUCCUAGAAAACUGGGGCAUGGAUGGAAACAAAGGCAAAAAGAUAAUUUCAUGCCUAUCCGAGAAUCCUAUACAAACUUGUUUGAAAAGUCAAGACCAGAUAUGAUUGGAAGAGUAAUUAAGAGCAAUUACGCAUCUCUAGUUUAGAUAGGAAUCCAAUUUCCAUUUCUAGCUCCAUAUGGAUUCAAUCCCGACAAUCUCGGGUAAAAACUGCUUCGACUACUCUCACUACUUUGUAGUGGUGCAGGAUUAGCUCCAAUCACUUUUUGCACCGUUGUCAGGGGGUGUGCAUGGAUUACAACAAGUUGAAUAAAGACCCGCAGGGAUCACUUUCCAUUGGUUGUUCUUGAUCAGAUGUUAGAUCGACUUGUUGGGCGUGCCUUCUACUAUUUCUUGGAUGGGUAUUCUAGAUACAAACAAAUCUUGAUUGCUCUGGAAGAUCAGUAGAAGACCACAUUCACUUGUCCAUAUGGAACCUUUGCUUUUCCUAGGAUUCCUUUUAGGUUGUGUAAUUCACUGGCUACAUUCCAACGGUGUAUGAUAGCCAUUUUCACUGAUAUGGUGGAAGAUAUUAUGGAGGUGUUCAUGGACGACUUUAGUGUUGUAGGUGAUUUGUUUGAUGAAUGUUUCAAAAACCCUGAUAGAGUGGUGGCCCAUUGUGAAGACACCAAUGUUGUUCUUAAUCGGGAGAACCACUUCAUGGUGGAUGAGGGCAUAGUUCUUGGGCAUAAAAUUUCAAAGCAUGGUAUAGAGGCGGACAAAGCAAAAGUUGAUGUGAUUUCAGGGCUCCCACCCCCUAUGCUGUCAAGGGAGUGAGAGGUUUCCUUGGGCAUGUGGGGUUCUACCAAAGAAUUAUCAAAGACUUUUUGAAGGUAGUGAACCCUUUAGGCAAGUUAUUGGAAAAAGAUGCCAAGUUCGUGUUCGAUGAAAGAUAUAUGCAAGCCUUUGAAAUUCACAAGAACAAGUUAACCACCACUCCUGUUAUCACCACACCCAAUUGAAGCUUGCCUUUUGAGCUCAUGUGUGAUGCGAGCGAUGUUGCGAUUGGGAUGGUUUUGGGUCAUAGAGUGAACAAAAUGUUUCAUCCAGUGUACUAUGCGAGCAAGACAAUGAGUCAUACUCAAGUGAACUACACGGUGACUGAGAAAGAGCUUUUAGCUAUUAUGUUCGUGAUGGAGAAAUUGCGAUCGUAUCUCAUGGAUGCCACAGUCAUAGUUCACACAGAUCAUGCUGCACUCUUGUACUUGAUGAGGAAGAAGAAUUCCAAAGCUAGACUGAUACGAUGGGUCAUGUUACUUCAAGAGUUUAAUUUGGAGAUUGUGGGCCUGAAGGGUAGUGAAAACCAAGUGGCAGACCACUUGUCCUUCUUGGAGGAGGAGGGUAGGCCUCAUGAGGGCCUAGAGAUUAAUUAUUCAUUUCUCGAUGAGCAACUCCUUUUGGUGAUGGUGAAUGGUUGCCAUGUAACAUGCGGACGUUGCUAAUUUUCUUGUGACUGGUAUAAUCCCGUGUGAGCUCUCUUCUAACCAAAGGAAGAAGCUCAAACGGAUAGUUUGGAUUAUUAUUAGAAUGAGCCGUACUAGUUUAAGAAUUGCAUGGAUUGUAUGAUCCGAAGGUAUGUCUCGGAGGAAGAGAAAUUGAGUAUCUUAGAGGCUUGUCAUUCUUCUCCCUAUGGUGGUCAUCAUGGUGGGGCAAGAACAGGUUCCAAAGUUCUUAGUUGCAGGUUUUAUGGGCCAACUUUGUACAAAGAUACAAGUGAACUUGUGAGGAGAUGUGAUGAAUAUCAAAGAGUGGGUGGAAUUUUGACGAAAUAUGAGAUGUCUCUCAAUACCAUUCUUGAAGUUGAUAUUUUUAUGUAUGGGCCAUUGAUUUUAUGGGCCCGUUUAUUAGCUCGUGUGGGAACACAUUCAUUCUUGUGGUAGUUGACUAUGUUUCAAAGCAGUUUGAAGCCGUGGCCUGGAGUGUUGUUACGUUUCUCAAGAAGAGCAUUUUUACAAGGUUUGGCACUACUCGUGCAAUCAUAAGUGAAGCGGGGUCUCAUUUCUAUAAUAGAGCUUUUGAAACUUUGCUUGCAAAGUAUAGUGUCAAUCACAAAGUUUCUACUCCUUAUCAUUCUCAGGCGAGUGGCCAAGUUGAAGUUUCAAACAGGGAAAUCACGCGCAUAUUGUCAAAGAUAGUUAAUGCAAAUAGGACCGAUUGGUCAAAGAAAUUGGAUGAUGUUCUAUGGGCUUAUAGGACUACUUACAAGACUCCGAUUGGUAUGUCUUCGUAUCGCUUGGUGUUUGGAAAAGCUUGCCAUCUACCGGUUAAGUUAGAGCACAAGGUCAUAUGGGCUUUGAGGAAGCUGAAUCUUGAAUGGGAUGUGGCAGUAAAUCUGCGGAGCAGCUUAAUGAACUUGAUGAAUUUCGAUUCCAUGCCUACUCUAGUUCGUCCUUGUACAAGAAAAAGAUAAAGUGCCUUCAUGAUAAAUAUGCUCAUAGUAAGGACUUCAAAAUGGGUGAUUUGGUUCUCUUGUUCAAUUCUCGGUUAUAUCUGCUUUGGGGAAAUCUUAAGUCAAUGGAGUGGACCUUUCGAAGUGGUGUUUGUGACUCUAUUUGGUGCACUUAAUUUGAAAAACAAAAAUGGGGAGGUUUUCAUAGUUAACAGGCACAGGUCAAGCACUACUUGGAUAAAAUUGAUGGAAGUCAAGUGGUGGCACUGCUCCAUCUAAAGUGAUUUGAUGGUAACCCGCAUCGUGCCGCGACGUUAAAUCAGCCUCUUCUUGGGAAGAAAACCAUGUGUCUUUCUUUUUGUUUUUCUUUGAUUCUCUUCUUAAUGUAGGAUUUAUUUUUGGAACUAACUAGUGUGAGAUGUUGUAGGAUUGUUUUGAUGCAGAGCAGGACCAGGUUAGGUAAAAUGAAGCACUACAACCGCAUUGCAUUUUGUGUUGCUGUAAAGGCCUUAGUGCGGGGGCAAAAAUUAAAUGCGGACCGUAAAGAUAAUUGGUCAAAAGUUACGUUCUAAUGUAUAUAUUCAUUCUGCCUUAUGUAUAUUCGACUAAAUUCCCUCUUGUAUAUAUUCAUUUUACUUUCCACAUUUUUCCUUUCAUGGCUUCUUAUUUUAUUUUCGUAGCUUCUUGUUUUAAGUUUUUGCAUUCAAUAAGCCUUUGGUUUUCUUAAUGUCACGGUUCCUUCCGGGGGUGGAAUUCGUGUGAACCGGGUGGCUUUUCCCAUUGAUGGAUAGCAUGACAACCUUCUUGAGUCUGUUUUCUUUUUUCUUUUUGUGUAAAUAGUACCUAGCGAGUAAUAGUGCCUCGGGAAAAGCUUCACUUGGGCCUAACACAUUUGCCUUUGAUCCUAUGGUCAAAAACAAAUUGUGCUGCAUAGGAUGGUGAAAGUAGCAACCUUGAUACUCUUGUGUUGGACAAUAAUCAUCAACUAAUUUUUCAGAACCAUUGUGUCGCUCAAAUCUUAGCUAAGGUUGUUGUGGGGCCCCGACUCUGUCUCUUUAGCAACCCCACAGCUGGUGUAAUGACCGAUCGGUCAUUUUGAGCUCUAUCAUGUCGUUCGGUAGUCUAAGACCAUGAGAAGUUCAUUUCAGCUAUUAUAACUUGUCUGCAUGGCCGGAAUUGAAUUUUGGGAAGGUCAGAGUUGAUUUAGAAAGAGAAUUCUCAUUUUGGAAGCUUUAAGUUGAAAGAAUUAACUAAGAUCGUAUUUUUAAGUAAACGACCUAGGAAUCAAGAUUUGCAGGUUCCAGCAAGUUCGUAUGAUAAUUUCAGACUUGGGCGUGUGCUCGGAUCGGGUUCUGGAUAAGCCAAGAGCGUUUUGGCGCCUAUUGUGGAAGUUAGCAUGUUGGAAGGAAUUUCAUAAGUUUGGCUUUAAGUGCAUUUUAGUGUUAUCAAUGUCCGUUUGGGAUUUCGAGUCUGUGAAUAGCUCAGUAUGGUGAUUCCAGAGUUGGGAGAGUGAUCGAAAGUGAAUUCAGAGGUCCGUACUUGAUUUCUGAGUCAUUUGGCUAAAGAUAGAAAUUUGAAGGUUUUUAAGAAGCUUGACCGGAAGUGGACUUUUUGAUAUCAGGGUCAAAAUCUGAUUUCAGAAUUGGCAAUAGGUCUGUGAUGUCAAAACUGACUUGUCUCCCAAAUUUGAAGUCAAUCGGACAUGAUUUGAUAGGUUUAAAAAUCGAAAGUAGAAGUUGUAAAUUUCAAAGUUCAUAAAGCUUGGAUUGGGGCGCGAUUCAUGGUUCUAGCAUUGUUUGAUGUGAUUUGAGACUUCUAUCAAGUCCAUCUUAUGUUUCAAGACUUGUGUGGGUGCUAGGUUUGGAUCCCCGGGGGCUCGAGUGUGAUUCGGGAUAGCUUCGGAGUGAUUUGCAAAGAAAUAGGAUUGCUGGUGCUAGUAUGAUCACAAUUGUGAUGCCUUGGUCGCAAAUGCGAUCAUUCAAUUUGUGAAUAUGGGCAGCUAGGGGAUUCUUCGCAUUUGCAAUGAUUGGGUCACUUUUGCGAGGCCUGAAGAGUUUGCAUUUGCGAAAUAGGCCAAAUCAGUCAAGGAUCGCAUUUGCGAUGGAGUCUUCACAUUUGCGAAGCUCGUACUUGUGAUCUUCUUGUUGCAAAUGCGACGAUGGAAAGAGGGGAGCAAGCUUCGCAUUUUCAAGGUUUUUGUCAAAUUUGUGAACCUGGUGUCGCAAAUGCAACAUCAGAGGCCUAUGUCCAGCUAUUAAUUUUGAGAUUUAAACCAUUUAGCCCAUUUUCUUCAUCCUCUUAGGCAAUUUUUGGAGCUUUUGGAAGAGGGUAUUCACCUAUCACUUUGAGGUAAGUAUUUUCUACACAACAUGAGUUAAAUACAUAGAUUAUGGGUAGAUUAACAUGUGAAAAUUUAGGAAAAACAAGGGUUUUAGAUGAAAAACCUAGAAUUUGGUAAAAACGAGACGAAAAAUUGUUUGGGAAUGAAGUAAAAAAUCAUAUAUUCUUGGUCCUCGGGUUAUGGGUAACAAUUUUCAUCAAAAAUUUCCGGAAUCCGGGCGUGUGGCCCGGGGAUGAAUAUUAGGAACCUUGCAUUUAAAGCUGGAAAAUUGGUUUAACAAUUAGAAUAUGAACUUUUGAGCAUGUACUGACUAGUUCUUACCCUAUUUGAAUAGUUUUGGAGUGUUCGGCUCCGAAUGUGGAGGUUUACCAAUCCUAAGGGGAGAGCCCCCACACAAAGUUAAACAAGCCACUUACCUCAAAUCGGCUCAAAAUCAACCCGACAUUACGUUCUUGCCAUGAGUAUUCAACUCUAAAUGGCCGAAAUCUAUUCAAUUCAAAUCAAUUUCAUAAUAUAAAUAACACUUCAAGUAACUCAUUCUACAAUUAAAUUCUAAAUUAAUACGUGAAACUAGGUAAAAUUACCAAAAUGCCCUCGGCUCCACGUCUCGGAAUCGGGUAAAAUUUACAUUUUCAGAAUCCUCAUACCCAAUUUAUUGACAACUAGAAUUGCCUAAAUCACAUCGAAGCAGUAAAUGAAUUUCAAAAAAAGAUUAAACUUUAUUUUUCAUAAAUCAUUAAAGGAAAAUUUGUUCUUAUUGAAAUAAAUUCUGAUAAACUCUUAAUUAGUCUUUUGACUCUGUAUAUAUAUAUAUAUAUAUAUAUAUAUAUAUAUAUAUAUAUAUAUGCCCGCAUCAGAUGUAUGAUUUGCAAUUGGAAUAUUUGUUUAUUUAAUGUUGAUUGCAUCGCAUGUAUGAUACGGGAGAGGCGUAAUAGAUGCAUCUAUGGUUCGAUUUGUUCGACCCUUGGCAAUGCACGGUUUACAUUUCUAUUGGAUUGGGCCGUACGAACUCGAUAUGAUUUGCGCAUGCAAAUUGCUUGCCUUGAGAGAACCCUUUAGGCAUAUUUGCUCUCCCCAACUUGAGAUAACUGCAAACUAUUGGAUCGUGAAUUCAGAGAUUUUUAAUAUAAAAAGGAACGGGUAGGGGUAAGGCCUGUCUACAUAUUACCCUCCUCAGACCCCACUUUGUUGGAUUAUACUGGGUAGUUAUUUUUGUUGUUGUUGUUAAUAUAAAAAGGAAUUCAUGCCUUACUUGAAUCUACUGUCAUUCUUAAUAAUUCCUUGGUUAUUCGCAUUAAUAAUAUAUAAUUAUUGGACCCCUAGUAAGUGUCGAAGUCGACCAUCUCGUCUCUACUUCUUCGAGAUUAGACAGGAUACGCAUUGGGUACACAUUAUCUUCGUACUAACACUACACUUUGGUGAAUUUUUAUUGCACAGGCACAUGUACCUCUAGUGGCCUACAGGGCGUAGCAGCAUGGUUGAUAUGGAGACUUAAAUGAGCUGCACUUCUCGAGGCGACUCGCAACCAGUAGAGUCUCUUUCAGUUAUCUGUAUUUAUUUUCUGUCCAAUAUUUUUUUUCCCCGGAUGGUUGUUGUAUCUUAUUUCCUUCAUAGUAAAUGCUCAUGAACUUGUGACACUGGGUUUUGGAUGAUUAUUGGGUAUAUUUUAUUUACUUCCAAACAUUCUUUUAUUUACAUUGAAAUGAUUGUCUUUUACGAGUAAAAUUGAAGGAAAAUCUUAAUUUUCAAAAUUGUUAAAAUGAGAACUUAAUCCAGUUAUUUGAUUGACUUUUCUGACAGCAGUGUCCGGCUCCACCACGACCAUUAGUGGAUUUUGGAUCGUGACAGCUUGUGUGGUGAGAAUUUGAAUUGCAAGUCCAAAUCCCGAGCUGUUAGUCUAGAACUUGCCCUGAAUGUUUGUCUAGGCGAAAUCCUAUGUGUAAUUUGAAUUGAUAUGUGAUUAAAGGCUCUCCUUGAUCCUAAUUAUGUCUUGAAACUUCCAUAGCCUACCAAGGUUAAUAUCCUUAUUCAACCUUUUUGAGCCAUAGACCUUUUUCUUUCAAAAACCAUGAUACAAGCCUUUACCCGUUCUAAAAAGACCCUCUCUGGGCACCUUAUUUUUCCUUAGCACAAGGAAAAAGCAUAAGUUUGGAGGGAGAAAAGAGGAAUGCAACAAAGAGUAAAAAGGUACAAAAUGAAGAAAGGAAAGGAAAUGAAAAGGCAAGAAAAUCAAAAAGACAAAAAGCAUGAUCAAUAUAGAAAAAAAAAGAAGGGAUUCAAUAAAAAGUAAAGAGAUGAAAGGUUUAGAAAGAGAAAGGAUAAAGUGGUUUAAAAUGAACAAGAAAGAGUGACAGUGUGUCUCUCUAACACCUUAGAAAGCAGUUAAAUGGCUUAAAAAGUCAAGAGAACAUGUGCCAAAAUGAAGCAAAUGAAGUGCUAAAGGGAAGAUGGAACCUACUUAGACCAAAUAUUUCCUACCCUGAACCAAAAGUCUUUGCUAUAUCUCCACAAAAUCCCAAUAUGAUUUUGAGUUGAAUGAAGCUUACAUUAGUGGUAACUCACAUAAGGGGCAAGCUUAUGGUACUUAGAACCAGAUUUGUGACCUUUCUUUGAGAGAGAUGAGUGUGUUUCCACUAUCCUCGUUCUGAGUGCUACAAUCUAAAAGUGAGGUUUUCUUAGGGAGAGUUGAGGAUGUGCGAUUAUGGGUUCCACAGUGACCAAAAUAGUAGAAAGAGUUUUCCUUGAUGGGUUGAGUCAAUUCUUGAUGCUCUUGUGUCGCACUAAAACCAUGGUGCUUAAAAGAGUGAAUGGAGUUAAUGAUUCAUUUGAAUUGAGGGCAAGUGUUAGUACCAAUUGAUACUAGAUGAGGUCACUUUAGGUCAGCUAAAUUUUCUUGGAUUUACUCUUAAGGAGGUGGGUCUUAUUUUUUUUGCUUGAAGACAAGCAAAAGCUUAAGUUUGGGGGAGUUGAUAACUAGGGAUUAUGGUUCAUUUUACAUUCUUCUUACUUGAGUUUUGAUUAAAAAUGUAAACGAAAUGGUCCUAAAGGUUUACAUAUUGUACUUGUUUGCAGGGGUUGGUCAAAAAGGUGACAAUUAGUCAAAACUAGUUCGAGAAGGAGUGAAACAUGCACAAGUACCAAGAACAAGCCCAAGCACAGUGCAAUAGAUCCAUUGCGGCCGCAUUCCAUUUAGUGCAGUCCGCAGUGAGAAAAUUUAGAGAGGUGCUUAUUUUGGAAAUUCAAGAAAUGUGGCAACAAAGCAUAUUGUGCGAACCGCAUUGCUUUCACCGUGGCCGCAAUCGAGAUUAUGUGGUCCACAAAGAUGAGGUUCAGAGAGCUAGGAGUUUUGAGGACAUAGUCAAUGCGGUAUGCGAUCCCUUUUGUGCAGACCACAGAAGAAGCCACCGCGGCCGCGGUACAUUUUAUGUGGUAUGCAGUGGCCAAGUUCAGAGAGUAGAGAUCUAAAUCCAAGAAGCCUCACCACAUCCGCACUCGAUUUUGUACCGACUGCAUUACCCUUGCAUGAGUAUUUUUGUCCCGAAAAUUUGGCCUAGUAUAAUACUUUCUUUUUCCAUUUUUAGGUCAUGAGUUUUAAUCUAGCUUUGGGCUGAGCAUGUGAACAAGGGUUUUAAUACUUUGAGCAAUUUGUAGCUACUUUAACACUUAAGUUUCUUUAUCUUAGUUUGUAGUUAAGUCUUAUGGGUUUCUCUUCAUCUAUUUAUCAGCUUUCUUCUAUUAUCAUGAGUAUCUAGACCCAUUAUCUAGGAUUGUGGCUCAUCCCUAGUGUGGGUAUUUGAUGGGUCUUGAGUUUUAAGGCUUGAAUGUCUAUAGGUGAUUGUUAUUUGGACUAAUUUGUGUUUUUCAUGUUGAAUUAGUGGUUGGAAACAUUAAUUUGUGCCUAUUUGACUUGAGCUCUUCUUGAGAAAGAGAGCUUGAGUCUAGUAAAAUUAGUUCAACAAGGAAUUGGGGUGUGUUUAAGAGAUUGAUAGCCCCAAUUAAAGGGUUAAACCUAGAUAGAGUAAUGCCCGACUUGAACCUAAAUUGCUUGUACAAAUUAUUAUACCAAAUCGGUCUUGAGAAAGUCAAUUGAGGCAAAAUAACUCAAACUACUAAGAGGUAUAGAGUGAAAAGCUUCAUGCAUUAGUUAUAUCGUGAUCUCCAACAGGACAGCCUUGCCUUAGAUUUGAGAACCCGUCAAGUAUUCACCUAGGAGAAAGUCACUUCCAUAGUACUUCUUCAACCAAUUAGAUGACCUUUCAAGUAUCUUACUCUUAGCUUAAUUUAGCUUAACUUAGCAUCUUAUUAACAUAAUAUUAGCAGUAAUCAAAAGACGAAAGAUGAUUGUAAGAGUAAUAAAGAGCAAUUACGCAUCUCUAGUUUAGAUAGAAAUCCAAUUCUCAUUUCUAUCUCCCUGUGAAUUCGAUCCCGACCAUCUCAGUUAAAGGUUGCUUCGACCAUACUUUGUAGUGGUGAAGGGUUGGCUCUAAUCAACGACUCUGAAUUUGAACUAAAUAAUCCCAUUAUAAUUGUCACUUAAAUUGGCAAACUCCCAAAUACCCCUUUCGGAGUAGUAAAAAGGAGGUGUGACAACAGUAACGAGCAAAUAAGGAGCUAAAAAAUAAAACAAUGUUACCAAAUGCACCAUUCACUACCAGAAGGGGACAACCUUGAAAGAAGAAAAAAAAAUCAUACCAAAAUCAUUGAGGAGCAGAGCUCAAAUAUGUGGCUGUAGCCCAAAAUGGAAGAAUCACAGCCGCAAUUUGAAGAAAACGCCUUUUUUUAUCAACAAAUUCUAUCUUCCAAAACCUUACGCUCCGAUCUUUGAUGAACACUAGAAUUGAGAUGAAAUUUGGUAGAAAACCUUUAUGAAUAGCACUGCAUACAAAUGAAAUACCCUAUCCUGGAUGCCAUGGCUUUGAUAUUGUGCUAAGAUCAAAAAUCGAAGCAAAAGGUAGAGAGGAAAGGUAAGGUUCUGUGAAACGAAGAGAGAGAAAUGAGAGGAAAAAUGUCGUCUUUCUGAAUGAAAGAAUAACCAAAAUGUAAAAAUAUUUUUCCUAUAUGAGCCAUGUCUGGC